CAGGUUUACCUGUGUGACUGCGUACCUUUUGUAUAAUGGGUCAGCGACUUAUAUUCUGUAGCAAGGUUAACCGUAUAGGGGAGCCGUAGGGAAACCGAGUCUUAACCGGGCGUUAAGUUGCAGGGUAUAGACCCGAAACCCGGUGAUCUAGCCAUGGGCAGGUUGAAGGUUGGGUAACACUAACUGGAGGACCGAACCGACUAAUGUUGAAAAAUUAGCGGAUGACCUGUGGCUGGGGGUGAAAGGCCAAUCAAACCGGGAGAUAGCUGGUUCUCCCCGAAAGCUAUUUAGGUAGCGCCUCGUGAAUUCAUCUCCGGGGGUAGAGCACUGUUUCGGCUAGGGGGCCAUCCCGGCUUACCAACCCGAUGCAAACUGCGAAUACCGGAGAAUGUUAUCACGGGAGACACACGGCGGGUGCUAACGUCCGUCGUGAAGAGGGAAACAACCCAGACCGCCAGCUAAGGUCCCAAAGUCAUGGUUAAGUGGGAAACGAUGUGGGAAGGCCCAGACAGCCAGGAUGUUGGCUUAGAAGCAGCCAUCAUUUAAAGAAAGCGUAAUAGCUCACUGGUCGAGUCGGCCUGCGCGGAAGAUGUAACGGGGCUAAACCAUGCACCGAAGCUGCGGCAGCGAACGUAUCACCCAAGACAACUUUACGGAGUUGACGAUUGACGGAGCGAAGCGACGUCAAAGCGUUCAUUAAAGUCGAGUUGGCUUAGGGAUACGUUCGUUGGGUAGGGGAGCGUUCUGUAAGCCUGUGAAGGUGUGUCGUGAGGCAUGCUGGAGGUAUCAGAAGUGCGAAUGCUGACAUAAGUAACGAUAAAGCGGGUGAAAAGCCCGCUCGCCGGAAGACCAAGGGUUCCUGUCCAACGUUAAUCGGGGCAGGGUGAGUCGACCCCUAAGGCGAGGCCGAAAGGCGUAGUCGAUGGGAAACGGGUUAAUAUUCCCGUACUUGGUGUUACUGCGAAGGGGGGACGGAGAAGGCUAUGUUGGCCGGGCGACGGUUGUCCCGGUUUAAGCGUGUAGGUGUGUGUUCCAGGUAAAUCCGGUUCACUUUAACACUGAGGCGUGACGACGAGGCACUACGGUGCUGAAGCAACAAAUGCCCUGCUUCCAGGAAAAGCCUCUAAGCAUCAGGUAACACGAAAUCGUACCCCAAACCGACACAGGUGGUCAGGUAGAGAAUACCAAGGCGCUUGAGAGAACUCGGGUGAAGGAACUAGGCAAAAUGGUGCCGUAACUUCGGGAGAAGGCACGCUGACACGUAGGUGAAGUGAUUUACUCAUGGAGCUGAAGUCAGUCGAAGAUACCAGCUGGCUGCAACUGUUUAUUAAAAACACAGCACUGUGCAAACACGAAAGUGGACGUAUACGGUGUGACGCCUGCCCGGUGCCGGAAGGUUAAUUGAUGGGGUCAGCGCAAGCGAAGCUCCUGAUCGAAGCCCCGGUAAACGGCGGCCGUAACUAUAACGGUCCUAAGGUAGCGAAAUUCCUUGUCGGGUAAGUUCCGACCUGCACGAAUGGCGUAAUGAUGGCCAGGCUGUCUCCACCCGAGACUCAGUGAAAUUGAACUCGCUGUGAAGAUGCAGUGUACCCGCGGCAAGACGGAAAGACCCCGUGAACCUUUACUAUAGCUUGACACUGAACAUUGAGCCUUGAUGUGUAGGAUAGGUGGGAGGCUUUGAAGUGUGGACGCCAGUCUGCAUGGAGCCGACCUUGAAAUACCACCCUUUAAUGUUUGAUGUUCUAACGUGGACCCGUAAUCCGGGUUGCGGACAGUGUCUGGUGGGUAGUUUGACUGGGGCGGUCUCCUCCUAAAGAGUAACGGAGGAGCACGAAGGUUGGCUAAUCCUGGUCGGACAUCAGGAGGUUAGUGCAAUGGCAUAAGCCAGCUUGACUGCGAGCGUGACGGCGCGAGCAGGUGCGAAAGCAGGUCAUAGUGAUCCGGUGGUUCUGAAUGGAAGGGCCAUCGCUCAACGGAUAAAAGGUACUCCGGGGAUAACAGGCUGAUACCGCCCAAGAGUUCAUAUCGACGGCGGUGUUUGGCACCUCGAUGUCGGCUCAUCACAUCCUGGGGCUGAAGUAGGUCCCAAGGGUAUGGCUGUUCGCCAUUUAAAGUGGUACGCGAGCUGGGUUUAGAACGUCGUGAGACAGUUCGGUCCCUAUCUGCCGUGGGCGCUGGAGAACUGAGGGGGGCUGCUCCUAGUACGAGAGGACCGGAGUGGACGCAUCACUGGUGUUCGGGUUGUCAUGCCAAUGGCACUGCCCGGUAGCUAAAUGCGGAAGAGAUAAGUGCUGAAAGCAUCUAAGCACGAAACUUGCCCCGAGAUGAGUUCUCCCUGAGACUUAGAGUCUCCUGAAGGAACGUUGAAGACGACGACGUUGAUAGGCCGGGUGUGUAAGCGCAGCGAUGCGUUGAGCUAACCGGUACUAAUGAACCGUGAGGCUUAACCUUACAACGCCGAAG
rnacentral:rRNA from 1 species